GUGACCGCGGGGUCAGGGUCCGCGGUAGUAUGGAGGGUCCGUGCGUUAAUGGGAAUGACUGGGGGUAGAGCGGGCGCAGGCGGUUUGUUAAUCGAGAGGUGAAAGCCCUGGGCUAAACCUAGGAAUAGCAUUUCGAACUGGCGAACUAGAGUCUUGUAGAGGGGGGUAGAAUUCCAGGUGUAGCGGUGAAAUGCGUAGAGAUCUGGAGGAAUACCGGUGGCGAAGGCGGCCCCCUGGACAAAGACUGACGCUCAUGCACGAAAGCGUGGGGAGCAAACAGGAUUAGAUACCCGGGUAGUC
rnacentral:rRNA from 1 species